CCUACGGGGGGCAGCAGUGGGGAAUAUUGGACAAUGGGGGCAACCCUGAUCCAGCCAUGCCGCGUGCGUGAAGAAGGCCCUCGGGUUGUAAAGCACUUUCAGUGAGGAAGAACGCCUGGUGGUUAAUACCCAUCAGGAAAGACAUCACUCACAGAAGAAGCACCGGCUAACUCCGUGCCAGCAGCCGCGGUAAUACGGAGGGUGCGAGCGUUAAUCGGAAUUACUGGGCGUAAAGCGCGCGUAGGUGGCUUGAUAAGCCGGUUGUGAAAGCCCCGGGCUCAACCUGGGAACGGCAUCCGGAACUGUCAAGCUAGAGUGCAGGAGAGGAAGGUAGAAUUCCCGGUGUAGCGGUGAAAUGCGUAGAGAUCGGGAGGAAUACCAGUGGCGAAGGCGGCCUUCUGGACUGACACUGACACUGAGGUGCGAAAGCGUGGGUAGCAAACAGGAUUAGAUACCCUAGUAGUC
rnacentral:rRNA from 1 species